GACGAACGCUGGCGGCGUGCUUAACACAUGCAAGUCGAACGAAGUGGCGAACGGGUGAGUAACGCGUAAUCAACUUGCCCUUCAGAGGGGGACACUAGUUGGAAACGUAUGCAAAAACCGCAUACUGAAGGAGGGGAUUGCGUCGGAUUAGCUAAGUGGAGGGGUAACGGCCCACCAAGGCGAAGAUCAGUAGGCUGGCUGGGAGGGUGAACGGCCACAUUGGGACUGGGGCCCGGCCCAGACUCCUAAGGGAGGGAGCAGGUGGGAAUCUUCCGACAUUGAGGAAAGUCUGGCGGAGCAACGCCGGGGGAGUGAAGACGGGCUUCGGGUUGUAAAACUCUGUUAAUCGAGAAGCGGUACCCGCAUAGAAAGCAACGGCUAACUACGUGCCAGCAGCCGCGGUAAUAC
rnacentral:rRNA from 1 species